UUGAGCCUCCACAGAUUUUGGUAUCCACUGGGGGUCCUGGAACUAAAACCCUGUGGAUACCAAGGGUCCACAGUACUGGGGCAUGAUGUAAACCAUGUAAUUCCUGUCUCGGUUUUGAGAUUUGUCAUAAUUUAUUAUCAGCAAAAGAGUUCUUUUUUGUUUAAAGUUCAGACUGAUGACAUUGCUUUUAUCUUUCUGUCCUUUUUUAACCAGCAUAUGUCUGUGCCUUCGCACAGAUACCAGCCAAUCCCCCUCUCCCCCAGUUAUCGAAAGGAAAAGAUUUUGCUAGAUCCAAGGCUAUAAGCGGAGAAGAGAAACUUCCUUGCCCCAGCUCUGUGGCAUUCAAGGAAAAUAUGGUAAAGGCUAGGACGUUUAUGAAUAAAGAACCAGAAGACACAACAGUGGGCUUUCCAGUAGUCUGAAAGUGCAGUAUAUCAUCAUAACUCCCCCUCUGCGCUAUCAGCCACAAUUUUAGAGGAAGAGUAAUUUACUAAAUGUGGCCACGCAAACCAUUCUUUGGCUCAGGAUCUCAUAUGCUGGCUUGUCACCUGGAUGAAUGUAUAUCAAUGUAUUUGCAACUGCAACUAUUGUGGCCUCUGAGAAUUAUGCUGCUGCAAUAACAGCGAUGGGAAAUAUUGGUGUAUUUCCAGUCUCCUCUAGUCCUAUGAAUGUGGCCAAGUGUUUAUUGAACAAGUUUGCAUGUAGGAAAAGUGUUGCUGGUGUUACAUAUGUUAACUAGCUUUACCUGUGAAAAAUAGUAUUAAAAAUGGGAGUAAUAAUAUAAGCCAAAUGAUAAAAGUUCUGAACUGAGAAUUUUGGAAGAAUUACAGUAAAUUCUUCCCAGCUUGCUGGCUAAUUGUAACAAAGUCAUUUGGUCCUUUCACAUGACACAGUUAUAGUGUUAUGAUUCUUCUUUAAUUGCCAUGAUUCCAUCCUAGGUAAUCCUGGGAUUUGCAGUUUAGGGAGAGUACUUAAGACUUCUCAGCCAGAGAACUCUAAUGCUUUACCAAACUGCAGAACCUAAGAUUUACAAUGGUCCAUUGUAUCUUAAUGCUGAAGUGCAUGAUAAACUCUGUCACUGGCAUCUCAGGCAAGAGUCUAGACUAGCUUCCUGUCUGUUCUUUUGACUGUGCACCGAGUAUGGGGCAAGUGGGGAGCAUUCACUUACAGUUUAGGGAGGUCCAGCAGCAACAGAUAAUGUGAGUGCAGUUCAGAUCAUGCAGUUGUGUUCUUUGCUUAAUUUUUCAAUCUAUGAAGCGUGGGCUGCUUCACAAGAAGAAUGCAUUAUUAGUGACCCUGCAUACUAAGAGAGUUGUUAAUUGCUCAAUAAUCAGACUCCAAAAGGGGAACAGAGCAGACACUUUAAAUUAGAAAUACCUUUACUGAGAAAAUGGCCUAUAAUUUGAGUGAUAGCAUUGCAAUAUGAAUAAGGAUUGCCACAAAGCUCUCUCAUCAUUUGAACACACAAAUAAAUUAUAGAAUUUGUCCAUGAGACAGCCAGGGCCAGCCCAACUGAUCAAGCAACCCAAGCAACAUAUAACUAGAGACAUGCAUCCCAGCAUCCUUUGAAUCCUAGGAUGUACCUCUCUGAUUGUAUAUUGCAACCACUUGGGGGGUGGGAUAACAAAGGGUGGGGUUGCUUUAUUUGGAUUCUUUUCCACUUACUAGCCUUAGAUACAGCAUCCAUCAAAUAGCCCUAUUCCUAUAUCAUUUUUUUAAAAAAAUUACACUACUAGCAGCUUUAUGAGACCUAGUGUUCCCAUUCACCAUCAAACUGCCUUCAUGCAAAAUACCUUCACAUAUUUAUUUCCCCUGCCUGCAGCCUGGAACUUGUAAGUGCUUCACAUCCUGUAAAUCCGAAUGUCUAUGGCAAGUCAUGAAAGUGUCCAUCAUGGAGAAGAGUUUAUACAGCCUUUCUUAACAUGUUAUGUACGGCAUGGCAACAAACAGGUAACAUGACUACAUGCUCUCCUCAUCAGUAAGUUCAUUUGCAAGUAUCAAAACAUACCACAGACAUCAUAUGGAUAUAUGUUAAAUAUUUGUGGCAGGGGAAAAGGGCAUAUGACAAUGUCCAACAUGCAUUCUACUCAAGUAUAAAAAGGUGAAUGGCAGCAUCAGAUAGAAAUGUCAGCACCAAAUGCAAAGGGAUAUGUUCCCUCAAUCACACAUGUGUGUGCAGGGAGAUGGAGGCACCUUCUUGAUAGAUACUAGAAACAUACCCUACAAUUGCCUUCACAAGUCAACUGUUUCUGUUUAAGUCAUCCUAUCUUUUACUCAAAAUUUGUCCCUGUGUUUUAAUUCAAAACACCCCAUAGAUAAAACAUAAUAGACAAAAGUGUGUCAUACCCAUUGCUAUUCAUCAAAGGCAUAACAGUUUUCUCAGAUUCAGGAACUGCAUCUUCUUGACCAUCAACCAACCUACUUUUGUUGUUUUUGCUCUUUGUGAUUGUCUUGAGAUAAUCAAUUGAUCUAGCCACCGAAAAUGAGGAGGAGUUGAGCAGCAGAUUUAAAUGGAUGAAAGGAUCUCAGAUGUCACCUCAGGGGAUGUGAAGAUUGAUCUUUAAAAAUCCAGCAUUUAACCAGCAUAGUCACAAAGGUGAGGGCAUAAUAAGAUUUCACUGCUUUUUGCCUAAUUUAGGCAAGACCCUUUUCAAUGGUUCAGAAAAUGCAGGGGAACAAAAGAUAUUGUUGAUGUAUUUGUCAAAUACUAAGACAGCCUUGAAGUUUACGUUAUUCUCCAGAUUCCCUAAUUCGUCAAGUGUGUGUGUUUGUGUUGCAUGUGUAUUUUAAUGGAUUUCAUGCUGAUGCAGCUUCACAGAAUUCUGACGUUCAGAGCUUGUAGAAAAGGCAAUUCAAUCCAGCAUCCGCCAGUAAACAGAAAAGAAGAUGGAGUCCUGAGGAAUUAUUCAAGACAUCUGGGGACAAUGAAGAACAGGUACUUCUGAUAUGAGCACUGGCCAGUUGGUUUGAGUGUCGCUGUUAUGCUUUUGCUGGUGGCCUAACCGGAAACAACAAUUUAACCAACUUACCUGUUCACCUAAGCUUUUGGUGCCCAGCGAUCUUUGUACCAUUUCUGGACUAUUUGACACCCGUCUCUUUUGUCCUCCUACCUGUUUUGCAUUCAAAUUAAUUUAAUUAAUUAAAAUCUGCAAGUAUAGCAAAACAAAGCAAAAGGAUUUUCAGUAAUUUUCUCAAUGAAGGGAAAUAUCUGUGAUGUUUUGGUCCCAGCUGAGACAUUCUGAACAAGAAGCAUGUCUUGAAAAAUUGCUCUAUUCUUGGAAGAUGGGGGAAUAGGACAGUAGCAGCAAGAUAUGAAAGCAGAAGUGCAGCAACAGGGUAAUGGUGUGACUGAGAAUGCAUCUGAAUGACUACAGAAUGAUGUCUGGAUUUGUAUCAUGGCUCUUGGAAAAUAUCUGUGCUUUUGAAUGGGAAACAUGGCACAAGAUUCAUCCAGCUGUGGAUAAUUACACUUCAAAUGCCCAUCAUGUAUUUGCAUCUCUAAUGAGAAAGCUACCUGCCUGCUGAAUAUUUGAUGCCAGUAUGUGGCACUAUGGGGGAAUCUGUGGAAUAAAGGAACAGGUUUUGCUUU